rnacentral:rRNA from 1 species
UACGUAGGGUGCAAGCGUUGUCCGGAAUUAUUGGGCGUAAAGAGCUCGUAGGCGGUCUGUCGCGUCGGCUGUGAAAACCCGGGGCUCAACCCCGGGCCUGCAGUCGAUACGGGCAGACUAGAGUGUGGUAGGGGAGAUCGGAAUCCCUGGUGUAGCGGUGAAAUGCGCAGAUAUCAGGAGGAACACCGGUGGCGAAGGCGGAUCUCUGGGCCAUUACUGACGCUGAGGAGCGAAAGCGUGGGGAGCGAACAGG